UACGAACCGUACAAACGUUAUUCGGAAUCACUGGGCUUAAAGGGUGCGUAGGCGGCCAUGUAAGUGAGGUGUGAAAUCCCUCGGCUCAACCGAGGAACUGCGCUUCAUACUGCAUGGCUUGAGGGAGACAGGGGUAAGCGGAACUGAUGGUGGAGCGGUGAAAUGCGUUGAUAUCAUCAGGAACACCGGUGGCGAAAGCGGCUUACUGGGUCUCUUCUGACGCUGAGGUACGAAAGCUAGGGUAGGCGAACGGG
rnacentral:rRNA from 1 species